rnacentral:lncRNA from 1 species
CUCUGUUGCCCGGGCUGGAGUGCAGUGGCGCGAUCUCGGCUCACUGCAAGCUCCGCCUCCGGGGUUCACGCCAUUCUCCUGCCUCAGCUUCCAGAGUCGCUGGGACUACAGGCGCCGGCCACCGUGCCAGGCUAAUUGUUUGUAUUUUUAGGAGAGACGGGGUUUCACCGUGGUCUUGAUCUCCUGACCUCGUGAUCCACCCGCCUCGGCCUCCCAAAGUGCUGGGAGGAUAUUCAUUCUUUAUCAGAGUCAUAAUAUUCAAAUUUUUUCUCUCAUUCUGGAGGUUGUCUGUUUAUUUAUUCUGUUGAUUAUAUCUUUUUGCUGUACGGAAGUUUUUUAGUUUAAUUCUCAUUUGUUUAUUUUUGUUUUUGUUACAUUUGCUUUUGGGGUCUUCAUUAUAAAUUCUCUGCUUUGGCCAAUAUCCAGAAGCAUUUUUUUCUAGAUUUUCUUCUAGGAUUUUUAUAAUUUCAGGUCUUACAUUUAGAUCUUUAAUUCAUCUUGAGUUAAUUUUUGUGUAUGGUGAGAGAUAGGGGUCUAGUUUCAUUCUUCUGCAUAUGGCUAGCCAAUUUAUCCAGCACCAUUUAGGGAAUAGGAUGUCGUUUCUCCAAUGUUUGUUUUUGUCAAAUUUGUUGAAGAUCAGUUGGUAGUAGUAGCUAUGGGGCUUUAUUUCUGGGUUUGCUAUUCUAUUCGAUUGAUCUAUUUUUUUACUAGUACCAUGAUGUUUUAGUGAUAAUUGUUGAUUUUCUUGGAUAUAGUCAGAAUUAAAAUUGAAAAAUCCUCACCCAUUAUUUCUUUAAAUAUAUAUUUUUUUCAGUCCAUCUCCUUUCCUUCAGGGACUCCAGUUACAUGAAUAUUAGGCUGAUUGAUGUUGCCCCACAACUAUUGAUAAUCUGUUUAUCUCCAUUUUUUUCUUCUUUUGUCUUGUUUUGAACAGUUUGGUUGCUAUAUCAAGUUCACUAUUCAUUCUUCUGAAAUAUCUACUGUGAUAGCAGUCUCCUCCAGUGUGUUUUCAUAACAGGUUUAUUUACCUGCUUUAUUACAUGACUGGUAAUAUUUGAUUGGAUGUUCGACAUUGUGGAAUCUAUGUCAUUGACACCUGGGCAUUUUUGUACUUUGGUAAGUACACUUGAGCUUUAAUCUGAAUUAGCAUUAAGUUACAUGAAAAUAGUUUAAUAGUUCGAUCUUUGGAGUUUCUAUCCUAAGCUUUGUUUGAUCAAGUAUACUAAAUGCUGCUUUUCUCACUACAUAGUUUUCUUCUACAACCUGAGUUUUUUUUUACUUCCCUCAGAUAUAAUUUUUCUUUUUCAUUUUUUAAAAUUAAAAUAUUUGUUCUUCAUUGAAUGUUUUAUACGUUUAAUAAGGCGUUACAAAGGUUACUAAAGUUUUCGUGUUUCAGUAAUUGGUAUGCCUGGACCAUGGAUGAUUUAUGAUAGUGGAUCCAUCAGAACUGCCUUAUUGUGAAAAAUCUUUAUUGCUUUUAUGGUUGAUUGUUUUUUCCACAUGGGAUAGUUAGCUUUCUGAGACAGGAGUUUUCUAAUUUCCAGAGCUGGGGUAUAAACCUGCUUGCCAACAUUCUAGCUUAGUGGCAGAACAAAGCUGAGUGGGUGUUUCAGUAUUUAAUGCAGUGCUUCUCCCUUCAGUCAUUUUUGGUGUUUCCAACUUCAAAGUCUCAAUUCCUUUAGAGAUUAAAUCUCUGAUCUUUCGUUGGAGAGAUUAGGGGAAGAUAUCUGUGCAGCAAGAAGCAGGAUAUGAUCUAAUUACUUUUUGUACAGGUUUUAAAGCAAGUUUCUUUUUUAGUGUCACUUAAAACGCCAGAUUUCCAAUACUUUAUCUCCACCUCCCAAUCCUUUAUCUUCACCUCCCAAUCUUUCUUGUACUGCUAUGGUAUCAAUCAGAUUAUUUCUUUACUUCCUGAACUGUUGGAUUUUAUGUAAUCCUGCAGAAACCCCUAUUUCAUUUCUUCUUGCCAAUCUGUCUUCUAGUAUCCAAACUGUAAUUAGUGUUAUCUUCCAUCCCAUGCUGUUUUUUUAUUAUAAGUAUAUAUUCUUUUUAUCCCUUUUCAAUCAAUUUGAUGUGGUUUUAAAAGGUCAUGGGGGUAAAUCUAAGUGCUCACCAUGUUUACCUAGAAGACACUUAUUUAUCUUUGCACCACAAGAUCCAGUUGCAAUGCCUAGUGUAAAUGUGGCUUAAUAAAUAUCUUUAGUUAAUUUGAUUUCAUGUGCUUUAAUGGAUUAAGAUAAAAAUAUUCACGACUAGGACAACAUGACUAUAAUAAUUGAAAAAUCUAGUCUGAGAAUCACUGUAAUUUUCUUGUCUAAUUAUGGCUCUCACAUUAUUUGGUAGACAAAAGCAAUAAAGCAAUUUCAUUAAUAAACAUUUCAUAAAUUGAAAAAAGUAUGUUAAAUUAUUACUUUUACUGAAAUUCCACAAUUAGUUUUUUAACCACGAAUGUAAAUGUAUUUGUGCAUGAAAAAUAAAUAUCAUUAGUUUGGUUCCACUAAUAUUUAGUUAGCAAUUGUUUUUUACUUUAGAUCACUUUUUUCUAUUUUUUCUAGCUUUAAGUUUGUUAAAUGUUUGGUUUUUAUUUCUAUUUCUGAGUUAUAACACAAUUAAGCCAACAUUUUAUAAUCCAUUAAUGAAAGGAUGAAAUAAUGAUAAAAUAGAUACAUAAUUCAAGAUGGUGUUAUUAAAUUAAGGAGUAAACGAAGCUUUACUAUAGAACAUUUUAUCUUGAGUGCUGAGGGAAGUGAAUCUGUCACUGUGAUGGCUUUGAACAAAUAACUAAAAUAAACAAAAAAAGUGAGUAUUGAAAGUAUGAAGAUGACUAUCUGAAAUAUGAAAUUUAUUGAGCUUACACUAUCUUAUUACCCAGUAGGUUGUCUUUUAUGAAUCUUCAAAUAGCAUCAUGAAGCAUCAAAGUUGAGAUUCUUUUUAAUAUAAUGCAAAGAGAAUACUCGAGGAAACAAAUAGUGUAUUUUCCAGAAGAAAAACAAAAUAAUGCUCACCCAUACAAAAAUGAUUAAUUUUGUUGCUAAAGGCAAGAGAAUGCCCUGGAACAGAAACAUCAUUCAAAGUUUUCCCACUUGUAGCAAAAACAACGUCUGAAUCCAACUACUUCUGAGGAGUUAGUAAAAUCAGAUACAAUAUUAAUGAAAAUGUUAUUCUCACAGAGAAAGCAGACUAGCUGUUGGCAAAAUUUCUCCAUCAAAUGACAGUUAGGCUUAAUGUAAUAUUAAUGCAUCUAAUAUGGAAAAGCAACUAUUAUUAUAUAUGUAUGCUAGAAGAUUAUUUAAUUUGCACUCGGACAAAAACACCAAUUUAGAGAAUAUAAAUUAACCCUUGGCAUAUCAGUAGUUCAUAUAAGGAGUAAAUGUGCUUAUGUUUUUGUUUUAUUCUUUUGUCUAUAUUCAGUGAUAGUCAGAAAAAUAUUUUUUCACUUAAUAGUUAUUUUGUGAAUCAUGAUACAAUCUUCAUGCAUACAAUACACGAGUGUCUUAAAUGCUAAUAUAUGUUUUCUUCAGUCACAGAAAAAAUGUGCUGGCACAAUGUUCCAUUUUUAUUUAUUCAAUUUGGAAAAAAUUAAUAAUGAA